AUCCUUUUGUCGACCUUUUGGCUAAGAUCAAGAGUAGUAUCUGUUUCUAUCUGUUUAAUAUCUGAUACGUCCCCAUUGCGUUCGCGUAGGAUAUAAUUAUUUUUUCCAUAUGGGUAAACAGCUUCAAAAGCUGUUAUUGUAUGCUCUCUCCUUAUGCAACACCUU
rfam:Gossypium raimondii chromosome 11, whole genome shotgun sequence.